rnacentral:rRNA from 1 species
GUGGGGAAUCUUAGACAAUGGGCGCAAGCCUGAUCUAGCCAUGCCGCGUGAGCGAUGAAGGCCUUAGGGUUGUAAAGCUCUUUCGUGGGGGAAGAUAAUGACUGUACCCCAAGAAGAAGCCCCGGCUAACUCCGUGCCAGCAGCCGCGGUAAUACGGAGGGGGCUAGCGUUGUUCGGAAUUACUGGGCGUAAAGCGCACGUAGGCGGACUGGAAAGUCAGGGGUGAAAUCCCGGGGCUCAACCCCGGAACUGCCUUUGAAACUCCCAGUCUUGAGGUCGAGAGAGGUGGGUGGAAUUCCGAGUGUAGAGGUGAAAUUCGUAGAUAUUCGGAGGAACACCAGUGGCGAAGGCGGCCCACUGGCUCGAUACUGACGCUGAGGUGCGAAAGCGUGGGGAGCAAACAGGAUUAGAAACCCUAGUAGUCC